UUUCCGUAGGUGAACCAGCGGAGGGAUCAUUAUCGAGUUUAUAACUCCCAAACCCUAUGUGAACUUACCACUUGUUGCUUCGGCGCGCGCUUCGGUGCCGCCGAGGACACUUAAACUCUUUGUUUUUAUAAGCAUUUCUGAGUGGCCGAAAGGCAAAAUACAAAUGAAUCAAAACUUUCAACAACGGAUCUCUUGGUUCUG
rnacentral:misc_RNA from 1 species